GUGCUCUGCUACAGUAUAAAGGUGCAGAGGAAGUUGAUAUGGUCACAUAAACAGAACCAAAAAAUACAAUAAGGCGAGCAUGUUCUCCUCAGGGAUUCGAGGCAGGUGAAGAGGCCAAUUAUUGAUACUUCUGUACAGGGUCGAAUAUGGGAGCUAAAGUAACAUUUGAAAAUCUUCUUCUGUUAUACACCUCAAG